rnacentral:rRNA from 1 species
AGGACUAACGCUGGCGGCGUGCCUAACACAUGCAAGUCGAACGAGGUAGCAAUACCUAGUGGCAGACGGGUGAGUAACACGUGGUCAACCUGCCUUCGCGUGGGGGAUAACUAGUCGAAAGGUUAGCUAAUACCGCAUACGAUCGUUUCGGGGCAUCCCGAGACGAUGAAAGGAGCAAUCCGCACGAAGAGGGGACUGUGUCCCAUUAGUUAGUUGGUGGGGUAAUGGCCUACCAAGACUCCGAUGGGUAGCUGGCUUGAGAGAGCGACCAGCCACACUGGAACUGAGACACGGUCCAGACUCCUACGGGAGGCAGCAGUGAGGAAUUUUCCGCAAUGGGCGAAAGCCUGACGGAGCGACGCCGCGUGUGGGAAGAAGGCCUUCGGGUCGUAAACCACUGUCGAAGGGGACGAUAUUGACGGUACCCUUGGAGGAAGCCCGGCUAACUACGUGCCAGCAGCCGC